GACAACGGCUGGCGGCGUGCCUAACACAUGCAAGUCGAGCGGAGAUAUAUUGAAGAUUUAUCGGAUAUAUAUCUUAGCGGCGGACGGGUGAGUAACGCGUGGGUAACCUGCCUUAUACAGGGGGAUAACACAGGGAAACUUGUGCUAAUACCGCAUAAUAUCAUUGUAUGGCAUCAUAUGAUGAUCAAAGGAGCAAUCCGGUAUAAGAUGGACCCGCGUCCAAUUAGCUAGUUGGUGGUGUAACGGACCACCAAGGCGACGAUUGGUAGCCGAACUGAGAGGUUGAUCGGCCACAUUGGGACUGAGACACGGCCCAGACUCCUACGGGAGGCAGCAGUGGGGAAUAUUGCACAAUGGGGGAAACCCUGAUGCAGCAACGCCGCGUGAAGGAUGAAGGUUUUCGGAUCGUAAACUUCUUUGAUGAGGGACGAAUAAUGACGGUACCUCAAGAACAAGCCACGGCUAACUACGUG
rnacentral:rRNA from 1 species